ACUUACACAGAUAAGUCACAGUUGACAGAUAGGCAACCAGGAUGAGAACCAAGAGUGCCAAGACAGCAUGGAUGAUCCUUGGUUUCCUGUUGGCUGGACAAAAGGAAGAAUCCUUAGAGAUGCUUGUGGAGAACCUCUUUGAAGCCUGGAGGGUGUUAAGAAACAUCUAAAGAGCAGGCUGGUGAAGAGAGACAGAAGGAUCUGCUGGACCUAAGACCCUGUUCCUUUGACUGACACAUGGUGCCCUGAACCCUGCUGGUUUGCUGUUAAGUCUCACAAGGGGAAACUGACAGCAAGAAUGAAAGAGAACACAACUACAUCCCUUUCUUGGAUUGCAUCCUGGUCCCCAGACUUGACUUUCUGUAGACUCCCCUGACCCAGGCAGAUCUAACAAUCAUCACUGGUAGGUCAUACCUCAGACAGCAAUGGAUAUCUGGUAGCUAGAUACGGGAUUGCUACUGAAAGUGAAAUUUUAGAGGCCGCCCACACCCACACCAGGUGCAACGUUGGCCUAACAGGCAACAUUGAAAGGGCUUGGGAGUUAGGAAAAGGUCUAAAGAUCAACAGAUAUGCUGGAAGCAGGUAUGCUUUCAAGGUGGCCCAUGCCUUUGGGAUGUUGUAGAAGCAAAGAGGAUUUCUCACAUCCUCUGGGAAAUCCAUUAAGAAUCAUCAUCAAGGGAACAGCUGGAUGACUCAUUGGAUUGAGAGCCAGACCUAGAGAAAGGAGGUCCUGGGUUCAAAUUUGGCCUUAGACACUUCCCAGCUGUGUGACCCUGGGCAAAUCACUUAACCCCCAUUGACUAGCCCUCAUCUCUCUUCUGCCUUGGAACCAACACACAAUACUGGUCUCAAGAUAGAAGGUAAGGAUUUAUUUUUAAAAAAAGAUUCAUCAUCAAGUAGCUCACCUCCUUGAAUGUCUCCCCUUACCUGCCAAAGUGGUGAUGACUAAGAUCCCAGGACACUCUAAAGAAAACAGUCCAUGAGCAAGAAAGAGGCAACAACUUGACUGAUCAAGCUGCCAAAGCCGCAGCAUUAUGUCCUCCCUUUCCAUAUACCUUGCAAGGGUAGAUCUGGUGCUCCAAGGGUUCAAGUUUGACUUGGGCUCAAUCAGACUCAGGCAAAAUCAAAUGCUGAUUCCAGAUAUCAAGGUGCUCCAGAUACCAAGGGCAUUGCCAAGAUGCUAAGGAUGGACUAUGGAAAGGGCUCAGUGGGUUGGCGGUGAUUGCACUGGACCCAGAUAAUGCAAUAACAACCCUCUCUGACACACUUACAUGCUGAAAAAAUUGGUGGCACUUGUUCAGAAAUACCGAUGGGAACAUUUUCGAUGACCAAUUAUUGAAGCCUAUUUCCAGUGUUCAAUUUGUCCCCUCUAUAUCCCAUUGAAACCACUCAGAUUGCCACCAGGGGGUUUCAUCCUCUGGCACAUUUCACACUUCGGCAGAUUUGCAUUGACUAUGGUCUGUAUGAUUUCCUGAGAGGUGGAAGUUUUUCCCUCUCAAGUGGCUAUAAAACUCAGAAGUAAAAGAAAUGUCUCUUCUUGAGAAGAUUAUUCCAACUGGGGGGGGGGUCCCCAGGCAAAUCCAUAGUGAUAGGGAACUCAUUUUAUUGGGUAGCCUAUAACAACUCUUUUAUCAUUCUAGCCCAUAACUCAAUGACUCCAUUGUCCUUACUACCCUUAGACUCCUGAAUUGGUCCAAAGAACCAAUGGCAUCUUGAAAAUCCUGUUAGACAAGCUGACCCAUGAUUUUCAUGCACCCUAGCCUCAAUCCCUCCCCUUUGCCCCAAGACCCUCUGCUCUUAACCCUUUUACACUUUUAAACUCAAGACAGCUCCUCUCUUAGCACUACCAAGGACAGCUCUCUUAUACAUCUUUAGGUUAUGAAGUUUAGAUUUAGAUUUAGAUCGAUAUAUCUUUAGAUAAUGGACUGUGUUGUAAGGAAAGUGUUGAAGUUUGCAGAGAGAAGUGGCAUGAGACCAGCAGGAAGAUUCUGGAACUGUGAAGGAGGGUUAGGCUGGGACCAAGGCGGUUAGCUACCUCUCUGGACAAUCUCUGGAGGUGUUGGUUGCAAAUUUCCUUGGUCCUCUCCUGAUUGCUCUUUGUUUGCUAUAUUUCAUCAAGGCAGUUUCUGGUGACCUGAUCCAUCUACAGGCAUUGUGAGAUUGAGUCUGGAUCCUUUUUGGAUUAAGACCUUCCCUGGUCCCAGCAAAGCCCCACACAGACCAUUUCCUUAAAUCCAACAAAGGGGGGUUGCGCUGAAGGUUUUAGUUAAGAUCGGGGACUGGAGAUUUGGGGUUAGGGAGAAUUAGAGUAGGAAGUUCACUAAAAAGAAAUCCCUCUGAAGGGAUAUUUAAAUCUGGUGGGUAUAGGUAGAUUGACAUUAGUUUAGAUUAGCCUAAAUCUCCUUUUCACCUUCCCUUGUUUAUUAAAUACAACCAACUGUCCCUGUGUUAUAUAGUGGUUUGUGUUUAUUAGCUCAGGGUCUGACUCUGCCUGCCCUGGGCUUGGGUAGCCUUCCCAAACCAAGGCUACUGGCCUAAAUUAUCAUUCCCUGAAACUCAACAGUUAUAUCAGCUGGGUGCAGGCACAUGCAGAGUAAUUGGCAUAAUUUAACUAAAUCUGAUGCCAGGUACUGUUUGCCAAAAUGAUUAUAAAAAUAUACCUGUUUUGCAGUUUGCUCUAUUCUGUUGGCCCCAAGAUUGAGGGCUCAUUUCAAGAUGAUAAAUCCAGAUUAAAUUAAACCCCAACAUAAAAACUCAUAGGUUAUGCUUAAUUAGAACAAAUACUAGAAAGUUCCCCAUAAUAUUAAAUGCCAUAAUUUAAGAUUUAUUGUGAUAAUAGUUUGAAAAAGCUUCUUUUCAUAGAAGUUUAAGUUCUGGGUUUUGUCUGUGUUGGUGAACCUAUGGUACAUGUGCUGUUGGGAACUGCUCUCCUCCCUUUCUCCACUGUACCUGAGAACAUUUCUCCCAUCACCCACCCCUCUGCCCAGUAGCCCAAUGGGAGCACUUUCUCCCUCCCCUGUCUAGGGUAAGGCAGGGGGCUCACCUGAAGCAUGCCAGUGCAGUUUGGGCACUGGAUCUCUAAAAGAUUCGCCAUCAUUGCUCUCUAACAAUCUUAAAUGCCAUCAAUUUAAAUGUUAGCCAUGGAUGUGUGCAAUUGUACUAAUUGUUGAUUCUUUAACCCCAGAAAGCAUAGAAGUAGUGAUCUGCAUCUCCAGUAGGAAUCAAAAAGAAAAGCCUAGGAUUUGUGUUUUUCAUUCAAGACUUUAGAUUUUAGUAUUAUCCUUAUACUUUUUGGCAUUGUGGAUGUGGAAAAUAUAUAGAGUACUGUUGAUUUUUGGAAUGAUACUAGUAGAAUGAUGCAUUUUUAUCUCAGUGGUUAGCUCUAAUUUUGAUCUAAAUGCUGUGAUUUUUAAACUUUAUUACUUAUUUGCUUAGAAAACUUAGUGCUCUUCUGAUUAAUAGGUUUAUGUUCUGAAAACUGUAAAAAGUUAAUUUGGAUUUGGCAAACAGCAUCCCUGAUUGAUUAUUGAAAAUGAAAAAGUUCUGUAAAAAUCAGAACUGCUUGGGAGUAAUUUUAUAGUUUUAUAGCAAGAAUUGCCUGAUAUUAUGAGAAAUAUGGAAACUAAAUAAAUCGUAACUAAUUGUUCUAAUGUUUAAUACUUUAAGAAAUGGUAUUAAAAUUGGAUAAAUGCUUUGUGACUACUGUAAAAGUUCUUGAGUGUUAAUUGAACAGUCCAGGUUCCUCUGUAAGCUGCUUCUGCAUGGGAUCAUGAGAGAGGUUUGGAAUGUGGUUGGCUCUCAUGCAACCUUUUCUUGGAGUUACAGGUAAGAGUGGAAUGGAAGGUAAAAAAAAAAGUGAAUGAGCAUCCCUGAAAAAGGCUUGGUAGAUCCUCAUAUCAGAGGUUCCUGUGCCUCCUAAACACCCAAUGUAUGUCCCCUUGAGGAAAUAAAAGGAAGUUUUAGAAGUUAAAAAGGUAAAGAGAGGGCUCUAUAUCUUCUUCCCAAUUUGUAAAGCCCCUAAACUUUCCUCCAAUUAGAAAUUAGAUUAUUUAAUUCUAAUUGUAUACUGGUUAGUUAUUUUGUUAUAAUUAACUGAUCUUUUAUAAAGAUUUGAUUAAUCUUGAGAGGGGUAUAAUAAUUUAUUUUGCUCUAUAUUUUAAUUUUUUUUGGACUAACUAGGGAGUCCAGAUAUUUUUUGAAAACCUGACUGAUUAACUUGCUGCAUGAUUUUCCCCACCUUCUUUAGCAAUAUAAAUGGAGGCCAUUGUACUUUUAAAUGCUCUAUUCUGUUUUAGAUGUUUUAAUGAUUAAAAUUCCUUGGAGACUA